rnacentral:sRNA from 1 species
UCCCGCUGCCCUCCUUGGGCGUUUCCUCCCUAGACUUCGGGCCGCUCGCAAGGGCGGCUUUUUUUUGCCCGCU